rnacentral:rRNA from 1 species
GUGAGGAAUAUUGGUCAAUGGGCGGGAGCCUGAACCAGCCAAGUCGCGUGAAGGAAGAAGGAUCUAUGGUUCGUAAACUUCUUUUGCAGGGGAAUAAAGUGCAGGACGUGUCCUGUUUUGUAUGUACCCUGAGAAUAAGGAUCGGCUAACUCCGUGCCAGCAGCCGCGGUAAUACGGAGGAUCCGAGCGUUAUCCGGAUUUAUUGGGUUUAAAGGGUGCGUAGGUGGUUUGAUAAGUCAGCGGUGAAAGUUUGCAGCUUAACUGUAAAAAUGCCGUUGAAACUGUCGGACUUGAGUGUAAAUGAGGUAGGCGGAAUGCGUGGUGUAGCGGUGAAAUGCAUAGAUAUCACGCAGAGCUCCGAUUGCGAAGGCAGCUUACUAAGCUACAACUGACACUGAAGCACGAAAGCGUGGGGAUCAAACAGGAUUAGAUACCCUUGUAGUCC